rnacentral:rRNA from 1 species
UGGGGAAUAUUGGACAAUGGACCGAGAGUCUGAUCCAGCAAUUCUGUGUGCACGAUGACGUUUUUCGGAAUGUAAAGUGCUUUCAGUUGGGAAGAAAAAAAUGACGGUACCAACAGAAGAAGUGACGGCUAAAUACGUGCCAGCAGCCGCGGUAAUACGUAUGUCACGAGCGUUAUCCGGAUUUAUUGGGCGUAAAGCGCGUCUAGGUGGUUAUGUAAGUCUGAUGUGAAAAUGCAGGGCUCAACUCUGUAUUGCGUUGGAAACUGUGUAACUAGAGUACUGGAGAGGUAAGCGGAACUACAAGUGUAGAGGUGAAAUUCGUAGAUAUUUGUAGGAAUGCCGAUGGGGAAGCCAGCUUACUGGACAGAUACUGACGCUGAAGCGCGAAAGCGUGGGUAGCAAACAGGAUUAGAUACCCUGGUAGUCCACGCCGUAGACGAUGAUUACUAGGUGUUGGGGGUCGAACCUCAGCGCCCAAGCAAACGCGAUAGUAAUCCGCCUGGGGAGUACGUACGCAAGUAUG